GACGAACGCUGGCGGCGUGCUUAACACAUGCAAGUCGAACGGAAAGGCCCUGCUUUUGUGGGGUGCUCGAGUGGCGAACGGGUGAGUAACACGUGAGUAACCUGCCCUUGACUUUGGGAUAACUUCAGGAAACUGGGGCUAAUACCGGAUAGGAGCUCCUGCUGCAUGGUGGGGGUUGGAAAGUUUCGGCGGUUGGGGAUGGACUCGCGGCUUAUCAGCUUGUUGGUGGGGUAGUGGCUUACCAAGGCUUUGACGGGUAGCCGGCCUGAGAGGGGGACCGGCCACAUGAGUACUACGAUACGGCCCAGAAUCCUACGGGAGGCAGCGGUGGAGAAUAUUGCACAACGGGGGGAAGUCAGAUGCAGCAACGCCGGGUGCGUGAUGACGUGUUUCGGGUUGUAAACCGCUUUCGCCUGUGACGAGGCGUGAGUGACGGUAAUGGGUAAAGAAGCACCGGCUAACUACGUG
rnacentral:rRNA from 1 species